GCACCCGCGGUAAUUCCAGCUCCAAUAGCGUAUAUUAAAGUUGUUGCAGUUAAAAAGCUCGUAGUAGGAUUUCUGCGAGGGUGCCAAUGUCCGCCGACGCGCGUGCGCAGCGGCGCCCUCGCAUCCUUCUGUUACCACCUCUCGGCAUUCACUUGCCGGUGGUCGGCUCAGAGAAUUUACCUUGAGAAAAUUAGAGUGUUUCAGGCAGGCUAGGCCGGAAUACAUUAGCAUGGAAUAAUGGAAUAGGACUACGGUCUCGUUGUUGGUUUGAGGGACUGCAGUAAUGAUUAAUAGGGAUAGUUGGGGGCAUUAGUAUUUAAUUGUCAGAAGUGAAAUUCUCAGAUUUGUUAAAGACUAACUUAUGCGAAAGCAUUUGCCAAGGAUGUUUUCAUCGAUCAAGAACGAAAGU
rnacentral:rRNA from 1 species